UACGAAGGGGGCUAGCGUUGCUCGGAAUCACUGGGCGUAAAGGGUGCGUAGGCGGGUCUUUUAAGUCAGGGGUGAAAUCCUGGAGCUCAACUCCAGAACUGCCUUUGAUACUGGCGAUCUCGAGUCCGGGAGAGGUGAGUGGAACUGCGAGUGUAGAGGUGAAAUGCGCAGAUAUCAGGAAGAACACCCGUGGCGAAGGCGGCUUACUGGUCCGGAACUGACGCUGAGGUGCGAAAGCGUGGGGAGCAAACAGG
rnacentral:rRNA from 1 species